GACCUGAGCUCAAGCAAGACCACCCGCUGAACUUAAGCAUAUCAAUAAGCGGAGGAAAAGAAACUAACAAGGAUUCCCCUAGUAACGGCGAGCGAAGCGGGAAGAGCUCAAAUUUGAAAGCUGGCGUCUUCGGCGUCCGCGUUGUAAUCUCGAGACGUGUUUUCCGUGCGGCUCUAUGGACAAGUCCCUUGGAACAGGGCAUCGUAGAGGGUGAAAAUCCCGUACUUGCCAUGGAAGUACCGUGCUUUGUGAUACACGCUCCAAGAGUCGAGUAGUUUGGGAUUGCUGCUCAAAGUGGGUGGUAGACUCCAUCUAAAGCUAAAUAUCGGGGAGAGACCGAUAGCGAACAAGUACCGUGAGGGAAAGAUGAAAAGAACUUUGAAAAGAGAGUUAAAAAGUGCUUGAAAUUGUUGAGAGGGAAGCGUUUGGAGGUUAUAGGUGCGCCUAGGCUUAUACGAUUCUAACGAGCCGUUGUAUGUGCUAGGUGCUGGUCAACAUGGGUUAGCCUGGCGGGAUAACAGCGGGGGUUGAUACCCCGUCUAUGCCGCCGGGUUGAUCAAGGUGUGAAUGGCGCUCUGUCCUUCGGGAACUGCGUCAUCAAGAUGUUGGCAGAAGGCCUUCAAACGACCCGUCUUGUAACACGGACCAAGGAGUCUAACAU
rnacentral:rRNA from 12 species